GCCGGUGUGGCGGAAUUGGCAGACGCAAGGGACUUAAAAUCCCUCGGAGGCAACUUCGUGUCGGUUCGAGUCCGACCACCGGCA
rnacentral:tRNA from 1 species